rnacentral:rRNA from 1 species
ACUCAAAGGAAUUGACGGGGGCCUGCACAAGCGGUGGAGUAUGUGGCUUAAUUCGAUGCAACGCGAAGAACCUUACCUGGCCUUGACAUGCACGUGGUAGAAGCGUGAAAGCGUGACGACUCCGCAAGGAGAGCGUGCACAGGUGCUGCAUGGCUGUCGUCAGCUCGUGUCGUGAGAUGUUGGGUUAAGUCCCGCAACGAGCGCAACCCUCGCGUCCUGUUGCAACCCGGCCGAGAGGCCGGAGCACUCUGGACGGACUGCCCCGCUCAAACGGGGAGGAAGGUGGGGAUGACGUCAAGUCAGUAUGGCCCUUACGGCCAGGGCUGCACACGUACUACAAUGCCCGGCACAGAGGGAAGCAAGGCGGCAACGCGGAGCAAAUCCCUAAAACCGGGCCCAGUUCAGAUUGUCGGCUGCAACUCGCCGGCAUGAAGCUGGAAUCGCUAGUAAUGGCGCAUCAGCUACGGCGCCGUGAAUACGUUCCCAGGCCUUGUACACACCGCCCGU